UUCAGAUCAGGUAUGAAUUGAACUCCAAUCCACCUCAUCUUGUGAAAACCUGGAACCCAAGGUAAUCGUUCUCUCUUGGGUUCUCUGUUUGGGUUUUUAGGUUGCUUUCGCCUUUCCCGUUAUCCCUCAAUUUUCCCCUCUUUUUUGUGAACCGGAUUGUUAAUUUUAUCCUUUAUGACAGUUACACACUCAUAGGUGAUCUUUUGUUUGAUUUUUGUGUAUUCAUGCUGCUGUGGAUUCGUUUAUUUACCACGUUUUCUGUUGUGAGAAUCAUAGGUUUUGAUUUUUCGCAUGGGUAACUUUCUAGUAAGUUCAUUAAAUCCACGGAUUCUCUGGUACAUGAAUGCUUUGUAACUUAUUUUUCAGAAAAUAAGUUAUGUAAUGGAUACUUCAGCUAGCUAUUUGUUUCUUGGAUUCAACCCUAUGUCCAUAUAAUAAUGAACCCACCGACAAUGCCCAUUCUCACAAGUAAAUCACAGCAUCAACCCCUAUGUCCAUAAGCAUGACAAAGUGUAUUGGUUGAAGCCUUGUUAGAUACUCCUACUUUGCUCCAAAGUCCAAAGGGUACAGAGGGAUAUAUUAUUUUUAUAGGAUAAACUUUCAGGUUUUUUUUACCAUCCUAUUAGAUGUUAUUAAUUGACGCAUUUAUGCCCAAAAUUUUAUGUACAUUUACAAUGGUUGUGGACAUUAGCAUCAAUCAAUAAAUUGUUAGCAGCAAGGCCCAAAACCCAUUGAGUACUCACACAACAAAUUGAGGGCAAAGCCAGAACAUGAUACUAGUGUCGAAGCUAAUUAAUUAUAACCCAAACCUGAUGAGCUUAUAAGCCCUUGGUAUAUUUUUGCCAUAGGGAUUAAUGAUAAACCUUAAGCAUACCAGCCUUAAAUAAUUGAACACAUCUCUAACUAAGCUAUAACAACAUUCAAAAACUUGAGACAUCUCCAACUAGUUUGUAGCAGUUUCUACAGAAAACUAGAGCCCCAGAUUCAUUUCCUAAACAUUGAGAACGUAUCCAGACCCCCUAAAAUUCGAAGCCAUCAUAAUGCUAGAGAUCUGCCAAAUUAGUGCACAGUCCACCAAUUUAGGAAAAUCUAGUUAUGAAGGUCGUUACGGAAUGCCAGUGAAUUUUCCACUAGCAUGCCGAUUCUUAGCAUCUUGAUUACUACCGAAAAGUGCUAUUUUGUAGACCUAAUUAUAAGGGUUUUAAGCACCUUUGAGUAGUAAUCAUAUUCAUUUAACCUAAUUAAUUCAUUAAGCUCCUUAGUAAUUAGUUCUAACCAUUUUUAGUGGCAAGUUUACAUGUUUUUCAUCAGCUUAUGAACCAAUUCAAGCAUGCCAAUUGAUGGAGGAGCUACUUGGGCGAGUUAAGCAAGGAUUUUGGACGUUUACAGACUUGAAUUUCAAGUGGAAACACGAGCACAAGCAAUGGGAACACCAUUUCGCAAGGGGAGGCAAUUCACUUGCCAAAAUUUCGCAAGGGGAUUUUCCUCAUGGUGCGAAAUUUGGCCAUUUCGCACCAUGAAGAAACCACCUUGCGAAAUUUCGCAAGGUGGCUUUUCACCUUGCGAAAUUUGGACCUUUCAUCUUCCCCCCUUGCGAAAUGCCUUUGAAAUCCCCUGUUUUGAGACGCUGUUGAUGAUAUUCCGCUGCCGGUUCUCCAAGAUAUUUUGCUUGACUUUUAGCUUUGUAAAUACCUAUUUUACCCUUGUAAUCAACCAAUUAAAAGGUUGCUUUUGUAAUAGCUCUUGUAAUUUAGCUUUUUAUUGUCUUUAAAUAGAGGUGAAGAGCCUUAGACACGAUCAUCUUGUAACCUGUAACUUUAUAAGUUAUAAGAGCACUUUUGUUCAUACGCUUCUUUUCUCUUUUCUUUCUCAUUUUCUUAGUGGCCAAACAUCCUUGGAGGAUGAAAUCCCCAAGGAUGAGAGGCUAAAACCUUUUAGUUUCUUGAAGUAAUGGAUGCCAUGUGAAGCUCCCGUGUCAGGAUGGAGAUUUCCAAGCCAUAAAUGUAAGUAGCUGAGCGUCAUAAAUGUUUUCAUUCAAAGUAAAUCUUUUAAUCCCUCUGACUUGCUUUGAAUGGCCAAUACUUGAUAACCUUUUGGUCUCAGUGGAUUCUUAUUGUUAGAUCCACUGACGUUCAUUAGUUAUCUCCUACGAGCCAUUGUAUUGCAAGUCGAGGAGAUGACCUAUACCAAUAAAAGAGCAUUUAUGAGGUUCAGCUACCCUUUUUGUAAGUUUUCAAGGACUAAAACUCAGUUGUUAAACUCAUACCGGUUCGGGAAGUAAGCAUCACCUUAGUUGCUUUCCCAACUCGAGGUGAAAAGUCUCAAAAUCUCCAUUUUUACACAGUGAGUUAAGCAUGGCUAUCCAAAGCUUUGAGAAACUUCUUUUUCCAUCUUUUAACCUAUUUUCAUGUUAGUUUAGUUUACAACACCUUCAUCUUUUUAUGUUUUCAUCUUAACCUAAUUUUUAUUAAGAAAAGUUCAUUCCAUCCUCCGAACUUCACCAGUUAAAGUAAAAACCCUUCCCAGUGUUCGAUCCUAGAGCCACUAUGCUAUAGUAGCUUUGCUACUUUAGUGUAAGGACCUUAGGUAUAAAUUUUGUUGAUACCCUUACAUGCCAAGCUACCAAGAGUCGGGUUACCAAAUGGCGCCGUUGCCGAGGAAGGUGCUACUUCACUGUGAAUACAUCAGCCGGAGGUAACUUGUGAGACUUCUCAUGAGUGAGGUGAAUUCUAUCUCAUUUGUCAUUUACUAACUUUUUAUUUUAGUUUUAGAACAUUUUUAACUUAGUUUAGAUAAGUUUCUUUUAGCUUUUAACUUUCAUUUUUAGUUUGUUUUUCAUACUCUGUUUUUCCUUCCGCAUGCUCUGUUUUUUUUUUUUUCUCUUUUUCUUUGUUUUGUUUAUUUGUUUUGUUCCAGCUGAAUCCGUGCAUGCCCUAUUGGAUUAGAGACCAAGAGGGAAGGUUAGUGCGGAUAGAGACUCCACGAGCUACUGAAUUAGAGAUUAUUUUGGAAGUCAUGGAGAAUCAGCCAGAGGAUCAACAUUCACAACACGGGCAGGAGAAUGAUCCGAACUUGUAUAGGUCCAUGAGGGACAGGAUGCACCCUCCGAGGAUGAGUGCACCAUCUUGCAUCAUUCCUCCUACAGAGCAAUUGAUUAUCAGGCCACACAUCGUGCCUCUGCUUCCUACUUUCCAUGGGAUGGAAAGUGAAAAUCCAUAUGCGCACAUAAAGGAAUUCGAAGAUGUGUGCAAUACUUUUCAAGAAGGGGGAAUAGCUAUUGAGCUUAUGAGGUUGAAGCUCUUUCCAUCCACAUUAAAGGACAAAGCCAAGAUAUGGCUCAAUUCCUUGAGGCCGAGAAACAUAAGAACAUGGACAGAACUUCAAGUUGAUUUUUUGAAGAAGUUUUUCCCUACUCACAGAACAAAUGGAUUGAAGAGACAAAUCUCCAACUUCUCAACACGUGAGAAUGAAAAAUUUAAUGAAUGAUGGGAAAGGUAUAUGGAGGCCAUCAAUGCAUGUCCUCACCACGGCUUUGAUACAUGGCUUUUGGUGAGCUAUUUUUAUGAUGACAUGUCAUCUUCAAUGAAGCAGAUAUUGGAGACAAUGUGUGGGGGUGAUUUCAUGAGCAAGAACCCUGAGGAGGCUAUGGAUUUCCUAAGUUAUGUCUCAGAGGUUUCCCGUGGAUAGGAUGAGCCCAAUAACAGAGAAAUGGGGAAGAGGCCAGUUCAGCAAAUGUCAAGAGGGGGAUGUACAAUCUGAGUGAAAACAUGGAGAUGAAAGCCAAGGUAGCUGCCAUGGCUAGAAAAAGAGAGGAAAUGGAGUUGAGAAAAGUUCACGAAGUCCAAGCUAUUUCAGAACCUCAACAACAAGCCAAUCCUUGCUCCAUCUAUCAGUCAUUUGAACAUAUGGUGGAAGAAUGUCCCACCAUUCCAGCAGCAAGAGAAAUGUUCGGGGAACAAGCUAACCUGAUUGGCCAAUGGAAGCCAAAUUCAAAUGCUCCCUAUGGCAACACGUACAACUCUAGCUGGAGGAACCACCCAAACUUUGCAUGGAAGCCAAGGCCAAACCCAUAUCAGUCACCAGCCCAAUCAAGCCAACAGAGUCAAGGUCGAUCCUCAGUUGAGCAAGCACUCAUAAGCCUUAGCAAGGUUAUGGGUGACUUUGUGAGUGAGAAAAAAUCCAUCAACUCUCAACUAAAUCAGAAGAUUGAUAACGUAGAGAGUACAUUGAACAAGAAGAUAGAUGUGAUGCAUAAUGAGUUGUCUCAGAAAAUUGACAACAUCCAAUAUUCCAUCUCAAGGCUCACAAAUUUGAACACUGUCAAUGAGAAAGGGAAGUUUCCCUCUCAGCCUCACCAAAAUCCUAAGGGGAUACAUGAAGUGGAAUCUAAAGAUGAGGAUUCUUCAAAGAUGAGGGAUGUGCAAGCUAUUAUCACUUUGAGAAGUGGUAAGGAAGUGCAUCAGCUGGAGCGUGAUCAGAGGAAAGCCAAAGAAGACAAGGCUGAUAGAAAAGAAGAAAAGAAGAAAGAACAAAAGGGAAAGGGAGUUCAGAUGAAAGAAAGCAUCAUUCCUAGCAUGGAUGAGGAACCUCAAAUUCUUUUAAAGGAAGGCAUGAUGAAGAAGCACAUGCCUCCUCCAUUUCCUCAAGCCUUGCGUGGGAAGAAACCGAUCAAGAAUGCUUCUGAGAUUCUUGAUGUGCUAAGACAAGUGAAGGUGAAUAUUCCUUUACUUGAUAUGAUCAAGCAAGUACCCACAUAUGCAAAGUUUUUGAAGGACUUGUGCACUGUGAAAAGAGGACUCAAUGUUACAAAGCAAACCUUCCUAACCGAGCAAGUGAGUGCUAUAAUCCAAUGCAAGUCUCCAAUCAAAUACAAAGAUCCGGGGUGUCCUACAAUCUCAGUCAAUAUUGGAGGAACCCAAGUGGAGAAGGCAUUACUUGAUUUGGGGGCAAGUGUUAACUUGCUUCCAUACUUUGUAUACAAGGAGCUGGGGUUGGGAGAACUCAAGCCAACAUCGAUCACCCUAUCCUUAGCUGACCGAUCAGUGAAAAUUCCUAGGGGGUAAUAGAGGAUGUAUUGGUUCAAGUUGACAAAUUCUACUAUCCAGUAGAUUUUGUGGUGCUUGAUAUGGAUCUCAUUGUCAAAGGGAUCAACUAUGUUCCAAUCAUCCUUGGAAGACCAUUCCUUGCAACAUCCAAUGCAAUCAUCAAUUGUAGGAAUGAGGUCAUGCAACUCACUUUUGGGAAUAUGACAUUGGAACUCAACAUCUUCCAUCUAUGUCAAAAGCACAUCCAUCCUGAAGAAGAUGAGGACCCAGAAGAAGUGUGUAUGAUAGAUACCCUAGUGGAGGAGCAUUGUAAUCAGAGUAUGCUUGAUCAGUUUGAAGAGAAUUCAGAUGAAAGCCAUGAAGAUCUUGAUGAUGGGUUAACUGAACCCAUGGGAAUGAAUGCCAUUAUGUCAAACUGGAGACAAAAGCCAGUGAUCCUCCCUUUGUUCAAGGAUGAAGAAGAGAUGAAAGAAGCUAAGGAUGCAAUCCUUAAGCUUGAAUUGAAGACCCUUCCUGCCGAGUUGAAGUAUGCUUACUUGGAGGAAGACAAUAAAGCCCCGGUGGUAAUUUCUUCUUAUUUAACCGUUUUACAAGAGGACAAUCUUCUAAGAAUCCUUAGAAAGCACAAGAAGGCCAUCAGAUGGCAAAUUGCUGAUUUGAAGGGGAUAAGCCCAUUGAUUUGCAUGCACCAUAUUUAUAUGGAGAAGGGAGCUAAGCCAACUCGUCAGCCACAAAGGAGAUUGAAUCCUCAUAUGCAAGAGGUAGUAAGGGCUGAAGUGUUGAAACUUCUUCAAGCGGGCAUCAUUUACCCCAUUUCAGAUGGCACUUGGGUGAGUCCAACCCAAGUUGUUCCAAAGAAGUCCGGGAUAACCGUAGUCAAGGGGGAAAAAGGAGAUGAAGUGUCCACACGCCUCACAACUGGUUGGAGGGUGUGCAUUGACUACAGGAAGCUAAACACAGUAACGAGAAAGGAUCACUUCCCUUUACCUUUCAUGGAUCAAGUCCUUGAGAGAGUAUCUGGGCAUCCUUUUUAUUGCUUCUUGGAUGGGUAUUCCGGGUAUUUUCAAAUAGAGAUUGAUGUGGAGGACCAGGAGAAGACUACCUUCACUUGUCCAUUCGACACCUAUGCUUAUAGGCAGAUGCCUUUUGGAUUAUGCAAUGCUCCUGCUACCUUCCAAAGAUGCAUGCUUAGCAUCUUCAGUGACAUGGUUGAACGAAUCAUGGAAGUCUUCAUGGAUGACAUAACUGUGUAUGGGACUUCUUUUGAGGAUUGUUUGUCACAUCUUGAAGACGUUUUGAAAAGAUGCAUAGAGAAAGACCUCGUACUCAAUUGGGAGAAGUGCCAUUUUAUGGUAAAUCAAGGUAUUGUUCUUGGACACGUAAUCUCAAAGAAGGGUAUAGAGGUAGAUAGAGCUAAGGUGGAACUAAUUGUGAAGUUGCCACCUCCCACCAAUGUAAAAGGAAUAAGGCAAUUCCUUGGGCAUGCCGGGUUCUAUAGGAGGUUUAUAAAGGAUUUUUCCAAGAUUGACAAACCUCUUUGUGAAUUAUUGGUGAAGGAUGCCAAGUUUGAGUGGGAUGAUAAAUGUCAAAGGAGUUUUGAGCUUCUUAAGCAAUUCUUGACAUCAGCGCCCAUUGUGAGAGCACCAAAUUGGGAGUUGCCAUUUGAAGUGAUGUGUGACUCAAGUGAUUAUGCCAUUGGGGCUGUUUUGGGACAAAGAGAAGAUGGUAAACCUUAUGUGAUCUACUAUGCAAGCAAGUCUUUGAAUGAUGCUCAAAGGAAUUACACCACCACUGAGAAGGAAUUACUUGUUGUGGUGUAUGCUUUGGAUAAGUUCAGACCUUAUUUGAUAGGGUCUUCCAUUGUGGUAUUCACGGAUCAUUCAACUUUGAAGUAUUUGCUAACCAAGCAAGAUGCCAAGCCUAGGUUGAUUAGGUGGAUACUUUUGCUUCAAGAGUUCAACCUCCAGAUCAGAGAUAAGAAAGGUGUUGAGAAUGUGGUAGCUGACCACUUGUCAAGGCUCAACAUCGCUCAUGACACCCAUGGACUUCCCAUAAAUGAUGAUUUCCCUGAGGAAUCCUUGAUGCUUGUGGAGGAAGUGCCAUGGUUUGCACACAUUGCCAAUUACUUGGUCACGGGAGAAAUACCAAGUGAAUGGAGCUCUCAGGACAAGAAGAAUUUCUUUGCCAAGGUCCAUGCAUAUUAUUGGGAGGAGCCUUUUCUCUUCAAGUAUUGUGCGAACCAAAUUAUAAGGAAGUGUGUGCCUGAACAAAAGAAGCAUGAGAUCCUAUCUCAUUGCCAUGGGAAUGCAUGUGGAGGCCACUUUGCCUCUCAAAAGACGGCAAUGAGAGUUCUUCAAUCGGGCUUUUGGUGUCCCUCACUUUUUAAGGAUGCCCAUGAGGUAAGUAAAGGAUGUGAUAAGUGCCAAAGACUAGGCAAGCUUUCAAGGAGAAACAUGAUGCCUUUGAACCCCAUCUUGAUAGUGGAUCUUUUUUAUGUUUGGGGCAUAGACUUCAUGGGACCUUUCCCUAUGUCUUUUGGCCACUCCUACAUCUUGGUAGGAGUUGAUUAUGUUUCAAAGUGGGUUGAAGCUAUACCCUGUAGAACCAAUGAUCACAAAGUGGUUCUCAAGUUCCUAAAAGAAAACAUCUUCUCGAGGUUUGGAGUGCCUAAAGCAAUCAUCAGUGAUGGAGGCACUCACUUUUGCAACAAGCCCUUUGAAACUUUUUUAGCCAAGUACGGAAUUAAGCAUAAGGUAGCUACACCUUAUCAUCCUCAAACGAGUGGCCAAGUAGAGCUAGCCAACCGGGAAAUUAAGAACAUCUUGAUGAAGGUGGUGAACACCAAUAGGAAAGAUUGGUCUGUUAAGCUCCUUGAUUUCCUAUGGGCGUAUAGGACGAAUUAUAAGACUAUCCUUGGGAUGUCACCAUACCGUCUUGUUUAUGGCAAAGCUUGCCAUCUUCCCGUUGAGAUUGAGUUCGAGGCAUGGUGGGUCAUUAAAAAGCUCAACAUGGAUUUAACUAGAGGAGUUUGGAUUUGAAUGAGCUUGAGGAAUUGAGAAAUGAUGCCUAUCGCAACUCAAAAAUAGCUAAGGAAAAGCUAAAGAGAUGGCAUGAUCAGUUGGUGACCAAGAAAGAAUUUUUCAAGGGACAAAGAGUCUUGCUAUAUGACUCUAAGCUUCACCUAUUUCCGGGAAAGCUCAAAUCAAGGUGGGUAGGGCCUUUUGUCAUCCACCAAGUACACUCACAUGGAGUAAUUGAGUUACUCAACUCAAAAAGUGCAAAGACCUUCAAGGUAAAUGGGCAAAGACUCAAGCCCUACAUCGAGCCAUUUUCCCGUGACAAGGAGGUACUCAUCCUCCAUGACCCAUCACAUCCUUGAGAAAGUGUGGUAAGUUGAUGAGCUUAGCAUGAAAAGCUAAGUGCUCAUCUCUUUUUGUUUUAAUUUUAGUAUUACAUUCUUGUUUACUUUGCAUUUUUAAUACUUUUGCACAUAUUUUGUUUAGGUUUCUUAGUUUUGAUUUUGAUUUUUUAUGUUUUUAAUGGAGCUUUGAUGUCCAAUAGCAAGUACGUGAUUCGUGCCCAAUUGGUGUGCCAGUUGAUUUGUGUCCAUCUGGUGCUCCUUGAAUGAGGGAGUAAUCAACAAAAUUUAUAACCUAUAACACCAUAUACUAGGGUAGCAAAGACAAAGCUACUAUAGUAUAGUAGCUCUAGGAUCGUUCACUGGGAAGGAUUAACAAGCUAUCAAUGAUACCAAUUCAAAGUGAAUUGGCCUUGUUUCAUUUCAAGGUUAGCUUAAGAAGUAAAACACAAACUUUAAUUGGUAAAGGUUUAGACUUAAACUAACUAUCAUAACAGAAGUUUGGAAUAAUUUAGGAAGAAAAACAUUCCUUGGAGAGUUAGGUUCACUGGGGUGGUUCCUCAUGCAAAAGACAUAGCUCCGGUCAGAUGGUUCAUUUCCUCGCAUUAGAGAUUCAACAUAUAGUCAAUUCCCUAACCGGUGUUGUACAGAGACUCCUUCAAUUAGAUUUCACUUUAAUUCUCUCACUGAUGCAACUUGCAAUGGUUCAUGCCUCUCACGAGCACUUACCAUUCAAGAUGAUCUUUAACCUUGGACUUCCCUUCACAAACUCGCAAGAGAUAACUAAUGGAUGUCUCGUUGGAGUCCAAAAGCUCACCAAGUGUUGGUAAUUCCAGAAAAUCCUACCUUAAAGUCACCUCCCAGAGGCUCGCAAGGGGUAAACUAGUGCAUUUCCAAGGUUGGAAAUCACUUGCCUUACCAAGUGUUGGCCCAGGCGACUCUAAGGUGUUUUAAGUUAACUAAAAACAUAGAAAUCAUUAAAGGAUUUCACUUCCUUUUCAUUACUAGCUAAAACCACAAAGCUCUGCAUUCUUGCACUUGGAACCUUCCUCGGCAACCUUAGCUCCAAGGAACUAGAGGUUUAGUUACUCAUUCUCUGGGGAAAACUCCUCAGAGAGUUCAUAACUUAGUAAGAAAAUAAAAAUACAAAGUGAGAAGGUAAGGCAAUACAAAGAACUGAACUUUACUUGCUUACCCGCAAUUUUUACAAAAGCUCCUCUCCUUUUUGAGAACAGGCUCCCGAGAGGUAUAUAUAUGAACAUAAUAUAAAACUAAUUAUUACAUAGAUAUUUAGUCUUUUUACUAACUUAAAAGCUAAGGAAUCUUGUAAUUGGUGGUUUACAAGGAGUAUUUUGGGAUUUAGACAACAAAAAUCUGAUGUAAAAUAUCUCCCAUUGUCGAUAGCAAAUAUCGGGGUGCUCCAGGAACCAUUUCGCAAGAGAAAAUGGUGUCUGCGAGAUUUCGCAGACACUCAAGAAGGCUGCGAAAUAUUUUCGCAACAACAAGCUAAACUCGUAGGGCUGCGAAGUUGACUUCCACCUUGAGGUUCCUAGCUUCCCUCUCGCGGUAUAUGUCGGGCAACUUCAAAAGGAGAUACACCCUACUGUACAAAAAGGCUGCGGAAUCACUUCGCAACAAAAGGGUGAUUUCGCAGCACUUUGCAAAAUGCUCCCUUCAGCUCGGAGUGAUUGGCUUGUAACGGCUGCAACUUCUUCGUUUCAACUCCGAAUUGCGCACCGUUUGAAGCAUUGGAUUGUUGACUUCCUGAGAUUUGAAAUGGUAUAUAGCAUGCAUCAUUUGGACUUCAGAAAGUGCUCCAAAAGUGGCUGCUACGACUGUCAUCAAGAAUAGGCUUCAUGGCAGAUUCUCUUUGUUUUUUCUCCUUGCAAUCCGGAUUUACUCUUGGCAAAUGACUUCUAAGCUUUGCCCAAGAUUCCUCAUAACUCUCCUCAGUCUUGACUUGCUUUGGUGAUCAAAUUACUAACAAAAACACCAAAACUUACAAAAAGUGAUUAAAAUCCCUUUCAAGGGUCCUUAACAUGCCAAUUGAGUUAAAAGGCCAAAACUACUACUCAAAAGUGUUUAAAAGGAUUAAUUAUAAGCUAUCAAUUAGCACUUUUUGAGUAGUAAUCAGUACGAAAGCUCACAAGCUCACAAAUGUGGAGAGAAAGGUGAAAUAGGGGAGAAAUAUAUCUAAGUCCAAGCUUAAAAGCCCAUUUCGCAACUCAAAAAGUGAGUUGCGAAAAUUUGGCAAGGUGAAUUUUCACCUUGCGAAAUUUUUUCUUCAUGCUUACCAAGGAUUUGAUUCUUUUUAAAUUCAUUUUCAAACUUCAAUUUUGUAGUUUUAACACUCCUCAGUUCAUCCCCGUACUUAGACAAAUUUUCAAAAAAAAAUUUCAUGGCCAAAAACCCUUUUUAAAGCCUUCUCAACUUCAUUUUUCAUGCAUAAAGCACUAUUCCCCUUGCAUUUCCUCUCUAGGCCGUGUGCUUCAUUGUUCCAAGGUGAGUAAUUUUUCAUUUUUCUCCAUUUUUGGCUCCUUAAAUUGCUUGUUUAUGUCAUUUCUAUGUUUUAGGAACCAUAAACAUGCAUUUUCAUCCAUUAAAACCAUUUCAAAAAUCCAUUUUUUUCAAAUCAAAGACCCACAUGGCCGGCCACCAUUUUUGCAAAAAUCUCUAUCUUGCAAUGUGUUUUAGGCUCCCAAACUUACUCCAUUGCAUUUAGAAUCAUGUUUCCAUUAAAACCAUACCCUUUUUCUGAAUUUUAAACCGUUAAAAAUGAAAACUCAAAUUCAAAGUAAGCAUUGGAGAAGAAGAUGAAUAGUGCCUGUGAAUAGUGCUGCGUGAAUAGUGCCCGUUGCCAAAUUUAGUAACCAUUAUUCAUGCCUUGCAAAUUUUGCACUGGUUACCAUUUCAACUGUAUUUUUGACACUUUACCCCUAGGAUGCUCUAUUUUUCGUGCUUUUUAGUCUUAUUUCAGUAUUUAUACCAUGGCACGGACACGGGGGGCAUCCUCUUCAGCUAGUUAGCGUGGGACCCACUCACAGAGAGGUGGUCGUUCUACACCAUCUCAACCUGCCCAGACCCCAAUUCCCCCUACUCAGCACGGGUACGGGACAAGAUGAUCAUCUGGGUGUUCUAGGGCACCAGUGCCACCCCCUGUGAGCAGUUCUCCACUUAAGAGGACUAGGAUUUCAGGACCAAGCGAGUCCUCCAGAGCCCCUCCAUCACCUCCAGCAUCUACUAUCCCAGGCUCUUCACACCUAGCAGAGGUCCUCAAGCUACCUAUGAUAGCAGGGCCACCCCUCCCAGGCAACACGGAUAUCAGAGAUAGGCCAUUUCACGAUGAGAUCUGUAUGGAGCAUGAGACUCUCCGCCUAUUACCAGAGCUAGAGGAGUCAUACCGCCUUCUGCAGAGGUACCACAUCAAGCCAUUUAUGACUCCUAGGUUCUUCUAUUACCCUAGGGUAGUCUUAGAUUUCUACCAGACUAUGACUACUAGAGGCGACCAGGACCCCAUAGCCAUUCAUUUUUUGAUUGAUGGCCAGUAUGGUAUUUUAGAGGCCCGAGAUAUAGCCGCCCCUAUGCAUUUUCAGCCUAUCCCUGGGGACCUUGGUUCCUUCCGGCAUUGGUCUCAGUAUUCAGAUCCCGACAUGGUGUCUACCUUAUCAGGAGGUAGAGUCACUGGUAGGACCAUUUUGAGGAGGGAGCUUCCUCCACGGAUGUUACUUAUCGAUUUGGUGCUCCGCACCAAUCUUUUUCCACUCCAGCAUGUCGUCCAGAGGAGAGGUGCUAUCCUAGAUGCGCUUUACCGCAUCUCUGAGGGAUUCUACUUUGGACCCCACCAUCUAGUCAUGACUGCUCUUACCUAUUUUGAGGAGAAGGUGCAUAGGAAGCGCCUACGCAGAGCUGGUACUAUUCCACUCUUAUUUCCGAGGCUGAUCUCUCAGGUCUUAGAGGAUAUGGGAUACCCUUCUCAGCCCCACCUAGAGCGUCGUCAUCAUUGUCGAGAGCUCUUUACCAGUGAGAGUUGGACCCAUUUCUUAGACCGCUCACCCAUGGACCAGGCUAUCCCUAGACCAUUAGCUCCCGCGCCUCCAACUUCUCCAACGCCUCCCGAUUCUCUAGCAGCCUCAGCACCUACAGUACAGACAUCACCAGAGCAGGACCCACAUACCACAUAGCCUUUUUCUUCAGUACCUGUUCCAGUGACUUGCACUACUGAUACUCCCACACCACCAUGGAGAAUAUAUGAAAUGAGGUUUCAUACAUUUAACAUUUGCUUGAUAUUCUGUUGGCCUUCCAUUUUUUUUUUACUCUGUUUUUGUCUAUGCUCUCUGUCUCUCUGUACACUUUCUUGGGGGAGUCCUCUAUUUUUUCUAUGUUUGGGAGAAUUGAUGGUUCUAGCAUUGGAUUCUUUUAGAUUUUCAUUUGUUGCUCUAUCCGAGUCUGAGGAUUUUCCAUUUUCCAGAAAUUGGCUAUUGCUUAGAGAAUUGGUGAGGCUUUGGUUAGCAAGUUUUUUUUAGUUCCUUUUUUCUCUCUCUAGAUUUUUUUUCUCCGUGCGAAGAAGGAUUUUCUAGGGUUCCAAACGUCCCUCUAACGGCUCUGAUCGAGAUCCAGGUUUUGAAUUGGAUUCUUCUGAAGCAUUUUCUAAGGUUUCCGACAUUGUUUUAUACGUAUUAUAGAUUUGUUUAGCUUCAAUUGGGUCUCUUUUGUUCGGGCUAGGGUUUGUGGGGGUUUAUGGUCGGGUCAGUUUGGAGGCUGUUCUUCGUGUAAUUUUCUGGGAACAACUCUGCUUCGUUUCUUUAUUUUUAUUUCGUUAUUCGGAGAAUUUUCAAUCCGAGGCAAUGGAGGAGUGUUAUCGAUGGCGAGAAUAAAAACUUCUAAGGUUUGUAAUUCUGUCUAUGGGGUUAGGGCUUUACAUUGCUUCAAUUGAAUCAGUGGAUGUGUUAGAGUUAGAGUUUUUAAACUUUAUCUGUGUCUUUGUCAUUGCUAUUCUAUCAAAUUCGUAUUGUCCGUCUAUGUCAUUGUGAAAUUUGAAUUCAAUAUUACUUAAAGGACAAAAACACGUGUGUGCUAAUUGAGAUUUUAAAAUUUUGAUGCUCGUCCUUGAAAUUAUUGAGGGAGGGAGGAACCACUGAUGCUGAUGGGAAAAAGUAUUGUUUUCAAUUUGAUUUGUAAGGAUUAAAAAAAUUGAGGAAUUGGGUGCGCCAGAAACCUUCAAUUGAGUCUCAUUUUGGCCCGAAAUUGUGGUACUUGGAGGAGCCUCCUAUGGCUAUGUCCACGGACACCAUCUCAAAGGCUUUGAAAGUCUUAAUUGAUGUGAGAAAUCAUCCCAUUCUGAUCCAUUGCAAACGCGGAAAGCACCGGAUAGGCUGUCUUGUGGGUUGUUUGAGAAAAUUGUUGAAUUGGUGUUUGUCUUCUACGGUUGAAGAGAACAUUUUCAGAUCCGGCCUUCCCAACCCCAUCAAUUUCCCCUUCCUUGAAGCCCUGAAUCUUCGAUCCAUCAUAUACUUCUGUCCUGAGCAUAUUGGAGAAAAUAUCCACAUACUGUUGUUUUGGUAAGCAAGGUGGGUCAUUUAUAUAUAUAUAUGGCAGCAUGUGUUUCAUGUAACAGUGCAAGUUUGGAUUUUUUUUUUUUAAGUGGAAAUAUUAUUAUAAAGGUAAGUGGUUUGACUUUUACAAGUUCUGGCACGUAUUGAUUUUGAAUAUGGUAGCAUGAGUUUAAAAAAAAAAAACUAGAAUUGUUAUUUAGGUUUAUGUAACAAUGCAAGUUUGGAUAUUUUUCUUUAGUGGAAUUAUUAUUAUAAUAGGUAAGUGGAUUGAAUUUUGUUACUAGUGCCGGCAUAUACUUGUUUCAUUUUAAUAUGGCAAUAUGGGAAUUGUGUUUAGGGUUAGUUUUUGGUUUAUUAUAUUAAAUUCGGAAAAUAUAAUUUUUUUAUGUAGUUUUACUUUAAGAAAAAAAAUAUAUGGUUUGAUUUUUAUUUAAUUUAGUUUUGAUUCAUUUAAUUAUUAGUUUUUUAUUUAUUUAUUUGCUACUAAUUUAAUGCUUUGUAACUUAUUUAUUUGUUUAUUUAUUUAUGAGAUUGAACCUAUGGGUUAAAAAUUUAGUUUAAAAUAAAAAUUAAAAAAAUCUAUUGAAGGUGGUUUGAAUUGGCUUUAGGUUUAGUUAAAAUUAUAGUAUGUCGAAAUGAUUGAUUUUUAUGUGUUAAGUAUUAUAUUCUAAACUUGCCUUGAUUAGUGAUAAAAAUGUUUGUUAAGCUCAAAUUUAUUUUACUGACGUAAGUUUAUUAAAAAAAAAUAAAAUAAAAAUUAUUUAAUUCCUUGAGUUCGUAUUUCAUUUCAUUCAUAUUUUAUUGCAUUCAUAUUUAUUUGUUUGUGUCAUCAACUUAUCCAUUUGAUCAUGAGUUUAAUCUUAUAGGUUAGAAAUUUAGUCUCAGGUAGUUUUUUUUUUAAUUUAAUUUGUGGUUAAGGUAAAAUUUUAGUUUGUUAAAAUAAUUGAUCAUGUGUGUUAAGAAUUUAAAUUUAGAUUGGCUUUAAUUAAUGUUUAAUUGUUUUUAAGCCUAGAUUUCAUUUUAAUAAUGUAAGUUUAUUUCAAAAUUAGAUUCCCUGAAUUCAUAUUUUGUUUUAGUUUCCUUUCGUUUAAAUUGAUUCAUUUUAAUUAUUUUAGGAGUUUGUAUAAUUUUAGGUCAUUAAUAAAAUCAAUUCUAUUUUUGAAAAUUCAUGCCUUUAGUUUACUUUGAUUUAGUUUCGCACAUCUAUUCGAUUUAGGUAUUUUAUAUAAUAUUAGUUCAUUAAUAAAGUUAAUUCUAUGUUUGAAAAUUAUUGUUUGCUUUGAUUUAAUUUGACUCAUUUUAAUCAAUCUAGAUGUGUUUGUGUGUUUAAUUGAUUUCAUGCUAAUUCUUGAUUGUUAUUCUUAAUAGAUAUGUUUCUUGAAUAUUUGGCAUUAAUUCUUGGUGGGUAUCUGGUUAGCUUAUUUGAUCUAAGUUUGAAUAGUUUAUUGCUUUGGUAGUCUCUAGUAAAAUUUACUUUCCGGAGGCUAUCGGAAAAUAGUGAAGAUUGGCCCCCAUUCUCACCGACUAUGUACCAUCUGUUUAUUUAUUAUUUUUAUUUUUAUUCUCAUACAUAAAAAAAAUAUAUAUAUAUAAUUUUCAAAACUUUGAUCUUCACGUUUCGACUUUCAAAAAUUCCAAUUUUCCAAAAAUUUCUAUUUUCGAAAUAAUUUUCCAAAAUUUCAUUUUUUUAGUUUAAUUUUCCGAAAUUCCAUUCUCGAAGUCCCAAUUUUCCAAAUUUACAAUUUUUAAAAUUUAAUUUUCCGAAAUUUCAUUUUUCAAAAAUAAUCCUUCCAAAUUUUCAAUUUUUUUUAAUUUAAUUUUUCAAAAUUCCAUUCUCAAAAUUCCCAUUUUCCAAAAUUCCAAAUUUAUUUUUUUAUUUUUUUAUUUUUUAUUUAUUUUUUUAUUUUUUUAUUAUUUAAUUUUAUUUUAAAUUAUUUUUUAUUUAUUUAUUUUUGAAAUACCAUUCUCAAAGAGACUUCCAAAAUUUUCAAGCUCACUUUUUUUUUUAAAAUAAAAUUCCACACUUCCGAAAUUUCAAAUUUAAUUUUCAAAAUUCCUCUUUUCAAUUUUUUUUUUAAAGUGAAUAAGCUUUCAUAAUUCCAAAAUGAUGGAAUUUAUGAGAAUUAAUUCAUAGCAAAAAUUAAUUGGGCUUUGGUGGGGGCCCAACAUUCAUAACAUUCUUUUCGAAAAUAAUUCAAGUAAGUUGUGCUCUCCAUUUUGUUGGAUUUUGAUUUGGUUUUGUAUGAGAUUUUUUUUUACACUUGUCAUUGUACACUAAUCUUAUUUUCAUGACAGCGCUUUAUUACCUACUAAUAAGGUACACUCUCACUCUCACCUUGUUUAUUAUUUUGUUAUCAUGAUUUAUUUUUGAACUAUGAUCAUUUUGGUAUUCAUUGAUCUCCUAGAUAAUUGUCAUGUUUGCUUCACCUUAUUUAGUAGAGACCAUUUUUUUUAAGGGGCUUAGAGGGGUGCUACGGUCUUUAUUGUACCUUCCCAAUAAGUAACCUGAUCCCCGGACCCAGACUCAGUUUUUUUCGCAGACAGCUUUUCCAAAAACAAAAUCAGGAGUCCAUCUAGGGGUUUUAUUCUUACUUGUUUUCCCCUUUAAAAAUAAAAUAAAAGUAAGUGGCGACUCCAAGUCUUUUCUAAGAAACAUAUUUUUCACCAAAUAAACGAAAAGCAAGUCUCGCCGAUUGAGUGGGAACGCAUCAUUAAAAAUGCGGGGUCCAUAGGGACUAGCAAUGAGUCGGUUGGGGGGUGUGAUUACUACCGAAAAGUGCUAUUUUGUAGACCUAAUUAUAAGGGUUUUAAGCACCUUUGAGUAGUAAUCAUAUUCAUUUAACCUAAUUAAUUCAUUAAGCUCCUUAGUAAUUAGUUCUAACCAUUUUUAGUGGCAAGUUUACAUGUUUUUCAUCAGCUUAUGAACCAAUUCAAGCAUGCCAAUUGAUGGAGGAGCUACUUGGGCGAGUUAAACAAGGAUUUUGGACGUUUACAGGCUUGAAUUUCAAGUGGAAACACGAGCACAAGCAAUGGGAACACCAUUUCGCAAGGGGAGGCAAUUCACUUGCCAAAUGACCAAUUUCGCAAGGGGAUUUUCCUCAUGGUGCGAAAUUUAGCCAUUUCGCACCAUGAAGAAACCACCUUGUGAAAUUUCGCAAGGUGGAUUUAGGCACCUUGCGAAAUGCCAAAUUUCGCAAGGUGGCUUUUCACCUUGCGAAAUUUGGACCUUUCAUCUUCCCCCCUUGCGAAAUGCCUUUGAAAUCCCCUGUUUUGAGACGCUGUUGAUGAUAUUCCACUGCCGGUUCUCCAAGAUAUUUUGCUUGACUUUUAGCUUUGUAAAUACCUAUUUUACCCUUGUAAUCAACCAAUGAAAAGGUUGCUUUUGUAAUAGCUCUUGUAAUUUGGCUUUUUAUUGUCCUUAAAUAGAGGUGAAGAGCCUCAGACACGAUCAUCUUGUAACCUGUAACUUUAUAAGUUAUAAGAGCACUUUUGUUCAUACGCUUCUUUUCUCUUUUCUUUCUCAUUUUCUUAGUAGCCAAACAUCCUUGGAGGAUGAAAUCCCCAAGGAUAAGAGGCUAAAACAUUUUAGUUUCUUGAAGUAAUGGCUGCCAUGUGAAGCUCCCGUGUCAGGAUGGAGAUUUCCAAGCCAUAAAUGUAAGUAGCUGAGCGUCAUAAAUGUUUUCAUUCAAAGUAAAUCUUUUAAUCCCUCUGACUUGCUUUGAAUGGCCAAUACUUGAUAACCUUUUGGUCUCAGUGGAUUCUUAUUGUUAGAUCCACUGACGUUCAUUAGUUAUCUCCUACGAGCCAUUGUGUUGCAAGUCGAGGAGAUGACCUAUACCAAUAAAAGAGCAUUUAUGAGGUUCAACUACCCUUUUUGUAAGUUUUCAAGGACUAAAACUCAGUUGUUAAACUCAUACCGGUUUGGGAAGUAAGCAUCACCUUAGUUGCUUCCCCAACUCGAGGUGAAAAGUCCCAAAAUCUCCAUUUUUACACAAUGAGUUAAGCAUGGCUAUCCAAAGCUUUGAGAAACUUCUUUUUCCAUCUUUUAACCUAUUUUCAUGUUAGUUUAGUUUACAACACCUUCAUCUUUUUAUGUUUUCAUCUUAACCUAAUUUUUAUUAAGAAAAGUUCACUCCAUCCUCCGAACUUCACCAGUUAAAGUAAAAACCCUUCCCAGUGUUCGAUCCAAGAGCCACUAUGCUAUAGUAGCUUUGCUACUUUAGUGUAAGGACCUUAGGUAUAAAUUUUUUUGAUACCCUUACAUGCCAAGCUACUAAGAGUCGGGUUACCACAUCUUAAUGGAGACCCACUCUCUGACAUGAUUGUUAAAAAUUGAACUUGGGAGUGUUCCGCUCUAUACCUUCCAAUCAGACUCAUUUAUACUCUCAAUGGGUUAAUUAACUAAUAUUAAUCUAUAUACCCUAAUAUGAAAGUUUAUCCUAUAAAAAUAACAUUGGGAGUGUUGUAGGUAGCCCUUUCCUUUGUCAAAACCUACAUCAUGGAAAAAACAUACCCAAUUUAAAUUAUGAAUGAGCACACAUACCCAGUUUAAAAUAAGGAAGAGUGAUCUCUGCUUUUGUUAUUUUGAGUAGGGAAAGUAGAGUUCAAAGAAAAUUGCUAAUAUUUAUGAUAUAUGAAAACCCGUGCCUAAUUGAAACAAUGAGAGGAUAUGGCUGGGACAAUAAAUGGAUAUAUCUAAUAUCUAUAUCAAUAAAGGGGAUGUGGGCAAUGUAGUUCUCUUAUAAGCACCUUUCUUUUAGAAUAGGACAACCUGUGCUAAGCCUUCUAAGUAUUGCAGGCAGCCCAAGGACCAGAGAUUAGGUGAUUAAUAAAUAUGUAGGCACCUUUCUUAAGAUACUAUAGUAUACAUCCAGAGUCAGCCAGAAGGUUUGUUUAACAUGUGCCCUGUUUCACAUCACUCUCUCUCUUUGAUUGGAAUUCUUCAACCAUAAAGUUUUCCAUUUCUUUUGAACUAAAAUAGAGAUUCAUUUGAACUAAAAUAGUGUAUGGGUUUUCCAUUUCUUUUUACCUAAUUUACUUUUCUAUUAUUUGUGAAGGCAAAGCAAGUUCAUCCUGAUAAAAAUCCGAGUGGCCCUUUGGCAACUGAACGAUCUCAAGUAAGUUCACUUCUUUGUCAUUCAUUCAUCAUCUUCUUCUUAAUACUCUACUCUCCUUUAUUCAUCCCAAAACCAAGUGGAGGACCAAGUAUUCUUAAGUAAUGAUGCAAAUUUCAGACUGAAUAAUGAACUUAGAAAGAGUUUCAUUUUGUUAUCAUGCUUUAAACUAGACAUUUCAACUCUAGUAAGGUUUGUUUUACCAUAAGUGGUAACUUGUCAUUAAUUUAACUAUCAUAAAUAGUCAUAAUCAAUCUUAGAUUAAGUUAAUUUAACUAUCACAUUUCAAGACUGAAUAAUGACUUUACUAAAUCAUUCCUCAUACUUUGCUAUCAUGUAGACUUAUAAUGAAGAGUGGCAAAGACUUAGAAGAUGGGCUGCAACUUGUGUAGCUAUGUAUGCUGCAUAUGCGGCAAUUCUUGUUUCGGUUUAUCAUCGCUCAAACUAUUUGGAGAGAUCAAUCUCUAAUGAAGGAGAUUAUGAACAACAUGCUUUGAUGGAAAGACUUACACUAAUGGAUAAUGAAGAUUGUUAUAAUCAACUACGUAUGGGAAAGGAUGCAUUUGCAAGACUAGUAAACAUUCUUCGGGGAACAGGUCGUCUUAGAAAUAGUGCACAUAGUAAUGUAGAAGAACAAGUUGCCAAAUUCCUUCACAUUGUUGGUCAUAAUUUAAGGAAUAGAACUAUGAAAUUUUAUUUCAAGCGUUCUAGUGAAACUGUUAGUCAUCACUUUCAUCAAGUUCUUAGAGCUAUAAUAUCUUUAGAUGAUGUCUUCUAAAAGCAGCCUGAUGGAUUAAAGUGCCCUCAAGAAAUCAAGGACAAUACCAAAUUUUGGCCCUACUUUAAGGUAAACUUACUUAUCUAAUAAACAUCAUUAGAAUAUUAUUUAUAUUUUAAAAUAAACUAAUAAUUUUGUUUCUUUAUAGGAUUGCAUAAGGGCGAUUGAUGGGUCACAUUUUCGUGUAAAAGUGUCAAAUGAUGUUGUACAAAGGUAUCGAGGGCGAAAGUACUAUCCAACACAAAAUAUUUUAGCAGCAUGUUCCUUUGACUUGAAGUUCACAUAUGUUUUACCUGGUUGGGAAGGAUCUGCGUCAAACUCGAGAAUCCUAGAUAAUGCAUUAAAGAGAGAUUUUGAUAAAUUGAUUGUUCCACAAGGUGAUUAUUGGUGAUUAGAUAAUAAUUUAUUAGCUCAAGUGACUAUUACUAAUAAUAAAUAUCCUUUGUCUAUGCUUCUUAGGUAAAUAUUAUUUGGCCGAUGCGGGUUUUCAGCUAAAAACUGGAUUUCUUACCCCAUAUAGAAGCACUUGUUACCAUUUAAAAGAGUAUAGUGUUCAUCAACCAGAAAAUGCUAAAGAGGUUUUCAACCUUCGACACUCGUCCUUGAGAAAUGCAAUUGAAAGGGCAUUUGGUGUUUUGAAGAAAAGGUUUCCAAUAAUAGCUAGUGGGACGAAGCCACAUUACCCUGUUGACACACAAUCUGAUAUUAUACUAGCAUGUUGUAUCCUCCAUAACUAUCUCAUGGGUGUUGAUCCAAAUGAAAUAUUAAUAGUAGAGGUCGAUAGAGAGCUUUUUAGCAAAGAAACGGAGUUUGAAUCAAUGGUCUUGAGUUUAGCUGAAAAAUGCAAGGAAGGAGAAAUCUUAAGGGAGAAAAUAGCCAUGGAUAUGUGGAAAGAUUACAAUAGAAACCGUUGAUGAGUCCUUUUAUUUUAUGGUUCUUUUCUUGUAUAGUUUUUUGUGUUUCAUAUUAAGUACGAUGAUUGUAUUUAGAACUAUAACUCCUCUAGUUAAAAUCACACUUUGAAUGAGUUACAAUGAAGUUAUUAUUAUAUCUCCUUCUCUUGACUUUUCAUUUUAAACAUAUAUAUAUAUAUAUAUAUAUAUAUAUAUAUAUAUAUAUAUAUGUGUGUAUGUAUUAUUAUUUCAGAUGGAACAUAGUGAAGGCUUUGAAGUACACAAAAGUGUAAGUGAAAAAAGAAACUUGACUUGGAUUGAUGAAAUGGACAACUUUUUGGUUGAUCGAUUAAUGGAGCAAAUGCAUAAAGGGCAAAAGAUAGGAGGAUUCUUCACCAAGACAACUUAUGCAAUGGUUGCACGAGAAAUUGGGGAAAAUUUUGAAUUGAGUUGUAACUCUGAGCACAUAAAAAAUAGAGUGAAAACUUUAAAAAAAACUUUUAUGCUGCUCAAGAAGUUUUACAAAAUGGUAGUGGAUUUGGUUUCAAUGAAUCAACUCAAAUGAUCGAAGCUACCAUGGAAGUAUGGACUACUUACACUAAGUUGAGUUAAUUAUUAUUUUUGAGUUAUUAGAAUAAAAAUUUUGCAUGUAAUGUAGAGUUAUAAAUUUCUAAUAGACAUUAUCACAAUUGAACUCGAGUUUUAUUAAUAUUUGUUUUUUCUGAUGUUAAAAGGCACACCCAGGAGCAUCUCAGCUCAGAUACAAAACUAUUAGAAAUUAUGAUAAGUUGUCCAUUCUUCUUGGAAAAGAUCGAGCAACAGGAAGUCUUGUUGCAGGUGCAAAAGAAAGACAACUUCGUUGGGCCCAGGAACAAAAUUUGGAUGACACAAUUCCAUUAGGAUCAUCACAACAUGGGAUUAGAGAUGAAACAUUUCCUUAUGUUGAAGAUGAAGCAACAACUGAGACAUCUUUCUCAUCUGUAGAUGCAUCUGUUUCUUCACCAAAGUCAAACAAAGAAACAAAAAAGCGAAAAACAAAAUAUGCUGACAUUGUAAGUGAAGAAUUAAGGUCAAUUAGAGUUGGAAUGGAUGCAGUUGUUGUGGCUCUUGAUAGAAGCAACCUUCAAAAUUAUACAGAAGAGCAAUUGUUUGAAGAGAUUGCUAAGAUUGGAGGCAUGAGUGAUGUAUCUCAUAUGAAACAUAUCAAGCUCUUACCGGUGAUGUGAGUGCAGCCCGAGCCUUCCUUGCUUGUCUAAUUGAUAGGCGUAAGCUUUGGUUGUCAAUUAAAUUUGGACCUACUUUUUUUUAUGCGUAAUUUGAGAUAAUCUACUUAAAAAGGCUUGAAAGUAGAACAUGAUUUUAUUCCACUAGUUCCACAAGUAUCAAUGGGUGUGCAAAUCAAACAAGCCUAAUGGACAGCCUAAGUGGCUUCUUUCUCUUAUUCCAGAUUAUUCACUGCUCAACUUCAUGCUCACAACUGCCAUCUAUAUCUUAGUAAGCAGAUUUUUCCUUGAUGCUUCAAAUUUUAUAAGUGAAAAAUACUAAUGAAUCUCCCUUUUUUAUUUGCUUGUGUUGUCCUCUCUGCAGGUCCUCUCGGCUUUUUGAACUAACCAAUACACUUAAAGACAGCUUUUAUUCCUACAAAGGACAAUCACCGGCUGCUGCAUAAAUUUUCUUUCUGGAAUUUCAUAUUUCUUUGUGCUUAUAUUGCAUUGGGUUCAUUCUUCUUCAGAUUCUUCAUGCACAAUUAAGUUCUAUUUCUUGUUUCUAUGUUAUUGGAAUGAAUCAGAUUUGCAAGAUGUAUUGCAAAAUGCAUUCUUAAGGAUUUUAACUGGAUCAUGUCAUUCAGAAUCCAUCAAACUAAUUUUGAUGUUUGAACGUUCAUUUAAGAAGUAAUGCAAUUUACUCCUACAAGCUUGACAAAUCAGGACUGAAAGGACUAGUACAAAUCAGGACUGAAAGGACAUGCAUGGGGCCAUUGUGGUCCUCGCGCUGGUUACUUUCCUCACUAGAUGAUUAGGGUGGCCUGUUCUCCAUUUCAGCAUUGUUUCUCUAGAGUCCUGUGGGUGCUACUAACCAGUUUCAUAUAGCAAUGUUUAAUCAUCAUUAUUGUAUCUGGAUCUAUUGUGCCCAUUAUUUUUAUCAAUUCUGCUCAGCCUCCUCUCCUUUAGGACUUCAAAGCACC
rnacentral:lncRNA from 1 species